rnacentral:tRNA from 1 species
GGAGGUGUGUGGGUACCUGGUGGUCCUCCCGGUCUUCAACACCGGCGUGCGGCGGCACCCGUCGCAGGCGGGUUCGAUUCCCGUCCACCUCCGCCA